UACGAAGGGGGCAAGCGUUGCUCGGAAUCACUGGGCGUAAAGGGCGCGUAGGCGGACGUUUAAGUCAGGGGUGAAAUCCCGAGGCUCAACCUCGGAAUUGCCUUUGAUACUGAAUGUCUCGAGACCGGAAGAGGUGAGUGGAACUGCGAGUGUAGAGGUGAAAUUCGUAGAUAUUCGCAAGAACACCAGUGGCGAAGGCGGCUCACUGGUCCGGUUCUGACGCUGAGGCGCGAAAGCGUGGGGAGCAAACAGG
rnacentral:rRNA from 1 species